GCCUAAUUUAAUGUAUAUCUGUAAGCAACAAUAAAUCAAUGCUAACGAAAAAACGAUUCUAAGCGGAGUUCAAUUGAUAGAGCUACUUUGUCAGGAAUAUAUAUGGAUAAUUAAAUAGGCAUUAUAUAUUUUCUUCAAUUAUAUUUGUUAAUGUACCGAUUUUCCCGGUUUUAUACAUGUUUUUCACAUUUGCUGGGAAAAAUCGAAAAAUGACCUACCCAGUCAGAUUUCCUUUCAGAAAAAGUACUAUCAUUGUAAAUCGGAGCAAAAUGGCUGGUAGAAAAGUUGUCCACAAAAAAAAAUAAACAUCUUUGUAAAGCUAUACGCUUCUUCGAUCCACUCAGAAUCUAAAAUAGAUAUGUAUGCAAGUCUGUUGUGUCUAAUUAUUAUACUAUAAUAUAACAUAUAUAUUGUUGAAAAUCAUAACUAUUAACUGAACUCCGUUUAGAAUCGUUUUUUUCAUAAGCAAUAGUUUAUCAUUGAUUACAGGUACACAUUAAAUUACCUAUAACAGUAG